rnacentral:rRNA from 1 species
UACGAAGGGGGCUAGCGUUGCUCGGAAUCACUGGGCGUAAAGCGCACGUAGGCGGAUCGUUAAGUCAGGGGUGAAAUCCUGGAGCUCAACUCCAGAACUGCCUUUGAUACUGGCGACCUUGAGUUCGGGAGAGGUGAGUGGAACUGCGAGUGUAGAGGUGAAAUUCGUAGAUAUUCGCAAGAACACCAGUGGCGAAGGCGGCUCACUGGCCCGAUACUGACGCUGAGGCACGAAAGCGUGGG